rnacentral:rRNA from 1 species
AUUGAACGCUGGCGGCAUGCCUUACACAUGCAAGUCGAACGGCAGCACGGGAGCAAUCCUGGUGGCGAGUGGCGAACGGGUGAGUAAUAUAUCGGAACGUGCCCAGUCGUGGGGAUAACGUAGCGAAAGCUACGCUAAUACCGCAUACGAUCUAUGGAUGAAAGCGGGGGAUCGCAAGACCUCGCGCGAUUGGAGCGGCCGAUAUCAGAUUAGGUAGUUGGUGAGGUAAAGGCUCACCAAGCCGACGAUCUGUAGCUGGUCUGAGAGGACGACCAGCCACACUGGGACUGAGACACGGCCCAGACUCCUACGGAGGCAGCAGU